rnacentral:misc_RNA from 1 species
AAGGGGACUCGGUGACCAAUUCGGUGCUCCAACGCACGGUUUUCUUGGAGCCGGAAGAGGGCGUUGAAAUCACAGGUUGCUCGUUCUGAGUCGGAGUCUGGUUCUCUGAACCCAUCACGAAAUUGCCCCAAUUCCCAUCUCCAUUGGGGGUCUGAACCUCCUCUUUGGGGUCGGAUUUUGGGCUCUUAUCGUCGGUGGAGAUGGGAGCUUUGUUAUCGGCCUCCUGCUUCGGCAGCUCCAUCAAAAAUUCUUCUGAAACAGAGAUAUGGGAUUGUGUUGGGUAUUUUAGUGAGGGGGAAAAUGGGAGAAAGAGGAAAGGCUUGGCUGAGAGGGCGGUAAUGGCCGG